rnacentral:rRNA from 1 species
AUGAGGCAACUGCAGUUCAAAUUUGACCCGCUUCCAGCUGAAUGGGCAGGAAUUUGUCUUUUUCACGAGUGGUUGAUCAAAACUUUUGACACCCAACCAUUUGGGACGUUGUGGCUCAUGGGGGUCGCGGGAUCCAUCGCCUACAACUGGUCCAGGCCCGGCAUGAAGACCAGCGUCAAGCUCAUCCACGACAGGUUCUUUACUAUUUUCCAUAACCAUUAUCUUACAUUUUUGGCAUUGAGCAUUGGUGGAUCUCAACAGCUAUAUGAUGAAUACACAUCAUGA